UUUAAUUGAAGAGUUUGAUCAUGGCUCAGAUUGAACGCUGGCGGCAGGCCUAACACAUGCAAGUCGAGCGGCAGCACAAAGGAGUU
rnacentral:rRNA from 1 species